CCUUGGUUUAACUGAAACCUUAAAUUUUUCUCUGUGGUCUCCUAGAACUAUAGAUAUUGUAGGAAUUGCUUCAUAGCACAAGCUCAAUGAUAAGGUGGGAACUGAAUACAUAGUAUUUUAUCUUGUGAGAAGAAUUAUCUCUUCUAAAUCAUCUCUCGAGGAGUAAAACUAAGAAAUCACAAUAGUUCCUGUGGAACAAACCCAUCAGUUUGGUAAUUCUGUGAGGGAUAAUUGCACAAAGGUUUUAGAGAUUUCUGAGGUUCCAUAUGAUAAUUCGCUGGGUUAAGUAUACUUUGUUAUUUAUUUUUAAUGAUUUUCCUUUAUAUGUGGAGAGAGAGAGGGAAAAAGAGACAGAAGGAUAGAUGUGAGAUUUAUUUUCUCUUGGCUUUCAUUGAAAAUGAAGUUGUACAAUAACCACAUUGACUGCUAUAGAAUGAUGUAAGACAAUCCAGGCUAGGAUGUAUGUAAGAGGAAAAAAGCAUUAUUAGUGAGGAUAGAAGUCACAAAUCAAAGUCAG
rnacentral:lncRNA from 1 species